rnacentral:rRNA from 1 species
CGCGUAGGCGGCCUUCUAAGUCAAACGUGAAAUCCCUGGGCUCAACCCAGGAACUGCGUCCGAUACUGGAAGGCUUGAAUCCGGGAGAGGGAUGCGGAAUUCCAGGUGUAGCGGUGAAAUGCGUAGAUAUCUGGAGGAACACCGGUGGCGAAGGCGGCAUCCUGGACCGGCAUUGACGCUGAGGCGCGAAAGCUAGGGAGCAAACG